rnacentral:rRNA from 1 species
UACGGAGGGUGCAAGCGUUAUCCGGAUUCACUGGGUUUAAAGGGUGCGUAGGCGGGCAGGUAAGUCCGUGGUGAAAUCUCUGAGCUUAACCCAGAAACUGCCAUGGAUACUAUUUGUCUUGAAUGUUGUGGAGGUAAGCGGAAUAUGUCAUGUAGCGGUGAAAUGCUUAGAUAUGACAUAGAACACCAAUUGCGAAGGCAGCUUACUACACAAAUAUUGACGCUGAGGCACGAAAGCGUGGGGAUCAAACAGG